rnacentral:lncRNA from 1 species
AAGUUAAGGUUUGUUUUGGAUGAUUUGGGUUUUAUGAAAUAAAAUAGGGUUUAUGUUUUGGGUGUUUUCAAGAGUUUUGUAGUAGAUCUACAAGUGGAAUUUUGUGGGUUUAUAGUUAUAGUUGUGUUUAAUAUGAGUCGUGAAUUUCAGCUUUAUCUAAUAGUUGAAUUGAGGGAUAUUGAGGUUUAAGUGGAUCAAGGUCUCAAAAAGUAGAAUUUUAGAUCUUGUAGGAUUUUUUAAGAUUUCGUGCAAUCUACUAGUUGGAUUGGAGUGAAACUUAUGUGAGAGGAUAUUAGACUUUUUUCUAUGUAUAUGAGAAUUUUAAGAUGAAUCGAAUGGUGUAAAAAAGAGAUAUUGGCUCUGGAAGAUUGGCAUCAAGAUUAGAGAAGGAGGCCAGCCAAUACCCAAGCACAUUUUUGAGGUUAUCGUCAAUUUGGUAACUCCGAUCCUUUUCAAUUUUUUUGUACUUAUUUUGAACUUAGUUUUUAAGAAGUGUGCAAAAUUUGAAUUAAGAUCAAUGGUUUAUUAUUUAGUUAUUGAGGUUUAAAUCUAUUAUAAGAAUUACUAGGGUUUGAUUUAGGAUUUGGUUAGGAUUUGGUUAGGAUUUGGUUUAGGAUUUAGGAUUUGGAUUAGAGUUUGGUUUAGGAUUUAGUUAGGAUUUUAUUUAGAAUUUAAGAUUUGGUUUAGGAUUUGGUUAAGAUUUGGUUUAAGAUUUGGUUGGGGUUUGAUUUAAGGUUUGUUUAGGGUUUGAUUUAGGGUUUAGGAUUUUAUUUGGAUUUAAGAUUCCAUUAGUUUUGGCCUAAAGUUUUAAUGAAGUUCAAUAGGAUUUUAACCAAAAUUAAAUUAAGAUUGAAUUGAGAUAUAUUUGAGUGAUAUUUGUGAUCCUUCUAAUAUUUCUUUAAGAAUUCUUAUUGUUUGUUUGAAAUUUCUUUGAGUUUUUAUGAAUUUGAUUAAGCUUGCUUAGCAUUAUUAUAAUCUAAUUAGAGCAUUUUU